GGUGUGUGCAUGUGUAUGUGCCCAAGUAAGUUCAGGUGUGUGCAUGUGUAUGUGCCCAAGUAAGUUCAGGUGUGUGCAUGUGUAUGUGCCCAAGUAAGUUCAGGUGUGUGCAUGUGUAUGUGCCCAAGUAAGUUCAGGUGUUUGCAUGUGUAUGUGCCAAGUAAGUUCAGGUGUGUGCAUGUGUAUGUGCCCAAGUAAGUUCAGGUGUGUGCCUGUGUAUGUGACCAAGUAAGUACAUGUGUGUGCCUGUGUAUAUGUCCAAGUACAAAUGUGUGGGAAUGAGAGAAACAGAAUGGGAUAGAAAACAAGAGAAAACUCAGAAAUUUCAUGUUUUUGCAUUGUUUAUUGCCCUAGUUGAUAUAACUGAACGUUUUAAAAAUAAUGAAGGAGUUUU
rnacentral:sRNA from 1 species